rnacentral:rRNA from 1 species
UACAUAGGUGGCAAGCGUUGUCCGGAUUUACUGGGCGUAAAGAGCGCGCAGGCGGUUGUGCAAGUCGCGUGUGAAAGCCCCCGGCUCAACUGGGGAGGGUCACGCGAUACUGUUCGACUUGAAGGCAGGAGAGGGAGGUGGAAUUCCCGGUGUAGUGGUGAAAUGCGUAGAUAUCGGGAGGAACACCAGUGGCGAAGGCGACUCUCUGGGACGGUACUGACGCUGAGACGCGAAAGCGUGGGGAGCGAACGAGG